GGGCGGUUAGCUCAGUGGUAGAGCAUUGCCUUCACACGGCAAGGGUCGCAGGUUCGAACCCUGCACCGCCCACCA
rnacentral:tRNA from 2 species